rnacentral:rRNA from 1 species
UACGUAGGGGGCAAGCGUUGUCCGGAAUCAUUGGGCGUAAAGAGCGUGUAGGCGGUUCAGUAAGUCUGCUGUGAAAGUCCAGGGCUCAACCCUGGGAUGCCGGUGGAUACUGCUGGGCUAGAGUACGGAAGAGGCGAGUGGAAUUCCCGGUGUAGCGGUGAAAUGCGCAGAUAUCGGGAGGAACACCUAUUGCGAAGGCAGCUCGCGGGGACGUUACUGACGCUGAGACGCGAAAGCGUGGGGAGCAAACAGG